UGGGGAAUAUUGCACAAUGGGCGCAAGCCUGAUGCAGCAACGCCGCGUGAGGGAUGACGGCCUUCGGGUUGUAAACCUCUUUUAGUAGGGAAGAAGCGAAAGUGACGGUACCUGCAGAAAAAGCACCGGCUAACUACGUGCCAGCAGCCGCGGUAAUACGUAGGGUGCGAGCGUUGUCCGGAAUUAUUGGGCGUAAAGAGCUCGUAGGCGGUCUGUCACGUCUGCUGUGAAAACCCGAGGCUCAACCUCGGGCCUGCAGUGGGUACGGGCAGACUAGAGUGCGGUAGGGGAGAAUGGAAUUCCUGGUGUAGCGGUGGAAUGCGCAGAUAUCAGGAGGAACACCGAUGGCGAAGGCAGUUCUCUGGGCCGUAACUGACGCUGAGGAGCGAAAGCGUGGGGAGCGAACAGGAUUAGAUACCCUGGUAGUCCACGCCGUAAACGUUGGGCGCUAGAUGUGGGGACCAUUCCACGGUUUCCGUGUCGCAGCUAACGCAUUAAGCGCCCCGCCUGGGGAGUACGGCCGCAAGGCU
rnacentral:rRNA from 1 species